AAAAACGCGUCUGUCUCUGGCUCAGCGCCAGCAAGCGAUCACAGAUCUGAAUUUAGCAGCUGAUGAUAUGACUUGCUGAACGUACUCGCACUGGUGUGAUUGUAUUAAAAUUAAUAAAAUCUUAAUCGGCUAUUCUUUGUCUUUUGGAAGCUGCAUUCAACCUGUUAUAAGCCACACACGUACAACAAACUAAUGUCACAGUGGUAUUGUGUACUGUAAUCGAAUGUAGCCCAAGUUAUUACCUGUUAAACAGUAGACAGCACACGCGUUCAUCUAAUAAGGAUCUCCAUCGCAAGCAAAGAAUAGCCUUUGCAGAUUAGCUUUCAAUUCAGUGCAGUUCCAUAGCCCCGUUUUCAACGCUGCUAAUAUUCUUAAACGUUACAACUCUGAGUGAACCGCUUCAGAGCUCAGCGCGUGCAGCAUGGAACUGAACGACUCAAUCAAACUGAUUCAUGAACCAAUUCACUCGUUUGCCAAUUGGUUUGAUCAAGCCUUUGAACAGAGUUGACUCAAAAGAAUGAAUCAUUCGCGAAUGGGCAUCGCUCAUUGUCCAGAGAAAAGUAGACGGCGCGUUUGGAAUAAACUGAAGCAUUUAUUGCAUUAAGAUAAAGUAACGAGAGGGGCGUCGCCCACAGUAACGAAGUAAAAGUACAGAUUUUUCCCAAAAAAUGUACUCAAGUAAGAGUAUAAAGUACCCAUCUUUAAAUAUACUCCGAAAAGUAUUCGUUACCCCGAAAAAUUACUCAAGUAAAUGUAACGAAGUAAAUGUAACUCGUUACUACCCACCUCUGAUCUUAAUGAAACUUUGCAUGCUUGGUGGGUCAUCUUUCACAUGUUAUAACCAAGUUUCAUAAAGUUUUGAGUUUUUGUUUCAGUUUUAUAGGCUUUAGGUUACAUGUGGCCACGGCCCUUUCCUAAAUGACCUCUUAUAGCUAACCAAAGGACAAAAUGCAACAUAUUUUUGAAAAUUAUUGAUCUAAAGAGUCCAGAGAAUAUUAUUGCAGUGGUUUGAUCAAGACUGAACAAAAAACCAGGUGACCCAAAACAUUCAAAUUCGUGGACCAAUUUUACGAAAAAGGCUAUAACUCGGGAACAAAAUGAGAUAUCUUCACCAAACUCAGAACUCAUAUGCAUGAACAAAAACUUUAGUCAAAUUAUUAUUUUUUUUUCCAUAUCUGCCACUUGGUGGCGCUACAGGAUGAAAAAAAAAUCAAAUGGCUAUAACUAAGCAACCGUUGAUCCAAUCAACUUGAAAAUUGAUAUGGCCCAAUGUGGCACAAGUGCUCUAUGAGGAAUUUCACUUAUCUUAAAAAACAUGGCCGCCAUUGGCCAAACAACUUUAAGCACCUAUUUGACAAGGUUAAUGGAAGUCGAUCGGAACGAAACUCGGUGGGCAUGUUCGACUCAUUGCCCUAAAGGUCUGUAAGUAUUUUGAAAGAAAUUGCCCACAACAUUGUCACCUCCCACAGAACACAACAAAGCGAUUUGAUUACAGCGCCAACUAUUUUCCAAAAAUGAUAAUGCAUCAUUUUACUGGAGUUUUACUGGCUGUUUCAAUUACACUCUUCCAAUAAUUGCUUUUCUUACUCGUUGCAUUUGGUCUGAUGCUCCAUGCCAUGCUUAGCUCCUCGCUGUGGAACUUUUAUUAACGAUUUCAGCCAUUUCAAUUACAAUCAUGCAAUUAUUAAUUUCAUUAUUCA